CGGCCUUUCCUCUGGCUCCUGCCACGGCUUGGGUUAGGGCUUCAGCGGUCUGCGUCCUGGCUCCGGGAGGCAUCGGGGAUUCGGCCGCAGCCUCAGCUUCCCGUCGCUCUGUGACCUGCGGGUAUUGGAUGAUUUGUAGCUAAGACUCCUGGAUCCCCUGAAGUGGGGAAAUGGAACUCUUAACAUUCAGGGAUGUGGCCAUAGAAUUCUCCCCUGAAGAGUGGAAAUGCCUGGAUCCUGCCCAGCAGAAUUUAUAUAGAGAUGUGAUGUUGGAGAACUACAGAAACCUGGUCUCCCUGGGUUUUGUGAUCUCCAACCCAGACCUGGUCACCUGUCUGGAGCAAAUAAAAGAGCCCUACAGUUUGAAGAUACAUGAGACAGCAGCCAAACCCCCAGCUAUGUGUUCUCCUUUCAGCCAAGACCUUUCACCAGUGCAGGGGAUAGAAGAUUCAUUCCAAAAACUUGUACUGAGAAGAUACGAGAAGUGUGGAUAUGAGAAUUUACAAUUAAGAAAGGGCUGUAAACAUGUGAAUGAGUGUAAGGUGCAGAAAGGAGUUAAUAGUGGAGUUUACCAAUGCUUGUCAACUACCCAGAGCAAAAUAUUUCAAUGUAAUACAUGUGUUAAAGUGUUUAGUAAACUUUCAAAUUCAAACAAACAUAAGAUAAGACAUACUGGAGAGAAACUCUUUAAAUGUAUAGAAUGUGGCAGAUCAUUUUACAUGUCACACCUAAUUCAACAUACAGGAAUUCAUGCUGGAGAGAAACCCUACAAAUGUGAAAAAUGCAGCAAAGCCUUUAAUAGGUCGACAUCACUUACUAAACAUAAGAGAAUUCAUACUGGAUAGAAACCCUACACAUGUGAAGAAUGUGGGAAAGCCUUUAGACGGUCCACAGUUCUGAUUGAACAUAAGAAAAUUCAUACUGGGGAAAAACCCUACAAAUGUGAAGAAUGUGGCAAAGUUUUUACAAGGUCCACAAUGCUGAAUGAACACAAGAAAAUUCAUACUGGAGAGAAACCCUACAAAUGUAAAGAAUAUGGCAAAACCUUUAGAUGGUCCACAAGCGUGAAUGAACAUAAGAAUAUUCAUACUGGAGAGAAACCCUACAAAUGUGAAGAAUGUGGCAAAGCCUUUAGACAGUCCAGGAGUCUGAAUGAACAUAAAAAUAUUCAUACCGGAGAAAAACCCUACACAUGUGAAAAAUGUGGCAAAGCUUUUAACCAAUCCUCAAGUCUUAUUAUACACAGGAGCAUUCAUUCUGAACAAAAACUUUACAAAUGCGAAGAAUGUGGCAAAGCCUUUACUUGGUCCUCAUCCCUUAAUAAACAUAAGAGAAUUCAUACUGGAGAGAAACCCUACACAUGUGAAGAAUGUGGCAAAGCCUUUUAUAGGUCCUCACACCUUGCUAAACAUAAGAGAAUUCAUACUGGAGAGAAACCCUACCCAUGUGAAGAAUGUGGCAAAGCCUUUUAUAGGUCCUCACACCUUGCUAAACAUAAGAGAAUUCAUACUGGAGAGAAACCCUACCCAUGUGAGGAAUGUGGCAAAGCUUUCAACCAAUCCUCAACCCUUAUAUUACACAAGAGAAUUCAUUCUGGGCAAAAACCUUACAAAUGUGAAGAAUGUGGCAAAGCCUUUACACGGUCCACAACACUGAAUGAACAUAAGAAAAUUCAUACUGGUGAGAAACCCUACAAAUGUGAAGAAUGAGGCAAAGCUUUCAUAUGGUCCACAAGGCUGAAUGAACAUAAGAAUAUUCAUACUGGAGAGAAACCCUACAAAUGUAAAGAAUGUGGCAAAGCUUUUAACCAGUCCUCAGGCCUUAUUAUACACAGGAGCAUUCAUUCUGAACAAAAGCUUUACAAAUGUGAAGAAUGCGGCAAAGCCUUUACUCAGUCCACAGCCCUGAAUGAACACAAGAAAAUUCAUUCUGGAGAGAAACCCUACAAAUGUAAAGAAUGUGGCAAAGCCUAUAACUUAUCCUCAACCCUUACUAAACAUAGGAGAAUUCAUACCAGAGAGAAACCCUUCACAUGUGAAGAAUGUGGCAAAGCCUUCAAUUGGUCCUCAUCCCUUACUAAACAUAAGGUAAUUCAUACUGGAGAGAAAUUCUACAAAUGUGAACAAUGUGGCAAAGCUUUUCAUCGGCCCUCAACCCUUACUGUACACAAGUGAAUUCAUACUGGCGAGGAACAUAGUUGAAUGACAUUUCUAGUACUCUCUUCUAGUGUCUUUAAACAGCAAAUAAAUUGAAGAAUAUUGUUCCCAUA